CUCGAUCUUUGUGCAAGCAUCUGAAUCGUCCUUUCAAGGCCCCGAACACUCGUUCAAUGGCACAUCUUGUUUUGCAAUGUCGACGAGUAUACAUGUAUUGAGGGGUAUUCUCGGCUGCAUCGACAAUUGGUAUGAGGAGUAUGGGCGCCAGGAUGAUGGAGACACAGACAGUGCCGACGAUAAAGCUAGACAGAAUAUAUGAAGUAAUUUCAAUUAUAAAAAAUGGAGGGAACUGUUGCACGCAGAAGCUGAGGGUGUUUAUAAUAUCGAUUAUUAUGUGUUCUUCUGAGAUGAGAAAGGGACUAUUAAUAAAGUGCAAUUACUAAAAAUAA